UACGUAGGGUGCGAGCGUUGUCCGGAAUUACUGGGCGUAAAGAGCUCGUAGGUGGUUUGUCGCGUUGUUCGUGAAAUUCCCUGGCUUAACUGGGGGCGUGCGGGCGAUACGGGCAGACUGGAGUACUGCAGGGGAGACUGGAAUUCCUGGUGUAGCGGUGAAAUGCGCAGAUAUCAGGAGGAACACCCAUAGCGAAGGCAGCUUGCUGGGACGAUACUGACGCUAAGGCUCGAAAGCGUGGGGAGCGAACAGG
rnacentral:rRNA from 1 species